UGGGGAAUAUUGCACAAUGGGCGCAAGCCUGAUGCAGCCAUGCCGCGUGUGUGAAGAAGGCCUUCGGGUUGUAAAGCACUUUCAGCGAGGAGGAAGGUGGUGGACUUAAUACGUUCAUCAAUUGACGUUACUCGCAGAAGAAGCACCGGCUAACUCCGUGCCAGCAGCCGCGGUAAUNCGGAGGGUGCAAGCGUUAAUCGGAAUUACUGGGCGUAAAGCGCACGCAGGCGGUUUGUUAAGUCAGAUGUGAAAUCCCCGGGCUCAACCUGGGAACUGCAUUUGAAACUGGCAAGCUAGAGUCUCGUAGAGGGGGUAGAAUUCCAGGUGUAGCGGUGAAAUGCGUAGAGAUCUGGAGGAAUACCGGUGGCGAAGGCGGCCCCCUGGACGAAGACUGACGCUCAGGUGCGAAAGCGUGGGGAGCAAACA
rnacentral:rRNA from 1 species